UACAGAGGGUGCAAGCGUUAAUCGGAUUUACUGGGCGUAAAGAGCGCGCAGGCGGUCGUUCAAGUCGAGUGUGAAAGCCCCCGGCUCAACUGGGGAGGGUCACUCGAUACUGAUCGACUCGAAGGCAGGAGAGGGAAGUGGAAUUCCCGGUGUAGUGGUGAAAUGCGUAGAUAUCGGGAGGAACACCAGUGGCGAAGGCGACUUCCUGGCCUGUUCUUGACGCUGAGGCGCGAAAGCUAGGGGAGCAAACGGG
rnacentral:rRNA from 1 species